rnacentral:rRNA from 1 species
CCUACGGGAGGCAGCAGUGAGGAAUAUUGGUCAAUGGCCGGAAGGCUGAACCAGCCAAGCCGCGUGAGGGAGGAAGGCGCAGAGCGUCGCAGACCUCUUUUGCCGGGGGACAAAAGGCCGGACUCGUCCGGUCCUGAGGGUACCCGGAGAAAAAGCAUCGGCAAACCCCGUCCCAGCAGCCGCGGGAAUACGGAGGAUGCGAGCGUUAUCCGGAUUCAUUGGGUUUACGGGGUGCGGAGGCGGGCCUUUAAGCGGGCGGUGAAAUCGCGGGGCUAAACCCCGCCGAGCCGUCGGAACUGGGGGCCUGGAGUGCGGCGGAGGCAUGCGGAAUGCGUGGUGUAGCGGUGAAAUGCAUAGAUAUCGCGCAGAACCCCGAUUGCGAAGGCAGCGUGCCGUGCCGCCACUGACGCUGAGGCACGAAAGCGUGGGGAGCGAACAGGAUUAGAUACCCGAGUAGUC